AGGUGCCGCCAGAUGGUUCCGGCUCUGGAGAAGGGCGGUCCGCAAGCCGGACGAGAACGCCCCCAAACGGAACCUCAAGCCCAGGUUCCACGGAGGCGUCGUCAACCGUAGGCCGCCACCUCCCGGCUGGAGAAGGAGUUGCUUCCUGCUCAAGGCUAACCUGCGUACAGACUGGGAAAUAAAAAGCUUGGAACCCAGAGGCUGCAGCCUGCGGAAAACGCUGGAGCGGCAGCGGUCACCAAGCUAAUGUCUGCGAGCUCACCCUAGCCUCCCAAGUAACUGGAACCACAAGCGUGGGCUACCAUGCCCAACGCUUUGUAGUUUUUGUAGAGAUGAGUUUUUGCCUUGUUGCGCAGGCUGGUCUUGAACUCCUGGACUCAAGCAAUCUGCCUGCCUCAGCCUCCCAAAGUGCUAGGAUUACAGGCAUAAGCUACCAUGCCUUGACCAAAAUUUCUUAAAGAAUGAUGAGAAGCUUGAAGGCAUUCCCACUGGCCAUAUCAGAGACAAUAUGAUUAUCAAAAUAACAAAUAAUGUAUUACAACCCAUUAAAUAAAAUAGAAAACCAUGAGUCCACAAAGCUGUGAAGAAAUAGAUGAAUAAAUUAAACUUUGGAUGAGAAAUUAUAUAGUCACAUAGCUUCAAUGUAACUCCACAGAGAAUACUUAUUAACUAAAAAGGACAAAAAGUAACUUUGUGACCAAGAAGCCCAGCAAAUAUCAUUUUAAUCAAGUGAGCAAAAUGAAUACCAUCAGUAAUAGGAGACAUUGAAACCACGCGCCAGCCUGUUAGGAUGUGAUGAGAAGACUACAACAUAACUUCCAUUUUUCUGUCACAGUUGCGUAACCUGAAUCUAAUCACGAGGAAAGAUAAAACCUAAGGGAUGUUCUACAAAACAACUGGUCUGUAACAUUCAAAAGUGCUUUCUUCAGCUGUCUGGAGUCUGUCCUUAUCCUGUUAUGAUUUAGAGUGAGGGACUAAAGAGCCAACUGGAAACUCUGAGCAGCUGGGCAGGGCUUGUCAAUUUUGAGCACCGUUAUCGUGUCGUCCGGGCCAUUGUUUCUUGGAGAAUCCCAGAAGUUAGUAUCAUCAGCUCUUUCCUCGUAGGCUGGUCUGAAUCACCAAGGAAGACACAUCCAAUCUCUUACAAGUGUUGGCCACCAUGCUAAAUACUAGAGCAAAACUGCAAGCCCAAACUGACCUAGUCCCUGACACCGUGGAGCUGACAUGUUCAUCUGCAUCUCAUUAUUGGACUGCGAAAAUAAACAACCCCACCCUUGGUUUGAUCCAGGAACAAAUUUGGUGAGCCAGCCAGGAGCCACUGGGACAGUGCUCUGUUCAUCAGCCACUGGCUUCUGACAAGAUAGUGUUCGGGAGAUUCCCAGCAGCUGCCAGGUGAGAUUUUCCUGGGGACUUUCCUGAGGGCUAUCUCAUGUGAAAAACCGCAUGUCCCUCUCCCUCCCCGAAAACAACAGAGACUGGGGUGGACAUGCUCAAAGGGUGAAACCAAAUUCUAUGCCGGGAGCCUAUUGUUUUCCUAUCUGGGCUUGUUAAGCCAUUUGCCUGGUACUUCUAGGGAAGCAAUAGGGCUGGCCUACACCCACUUUGCAUUUUGUUAAGAUCAGGUUUUUUUUUUUU